AUUGAACGCUGGCGGCAGGCCUAACACAUGCAAGUCGAGCGAGCGGCGGACGGGUGAGUAAUGUCUGGGAAACUGCCUGAUGGAGGGGGAUAACUACUGGAAACGGUAGCUAAUACCGCAUACCAUCAGAUGUGCCCAGAUGGGAUGAGCUAGUAGGUGGGGUAACGGCUCACCUAGGCGACGAUCCCUCGCUGGUCUGAGAGGAUGACCAGAAAGACUGGACAGGAGACAAGGUCCAGACUCCGACGGGAGGCAGCAGUGGGGAAUAUGGCGCAAUGGGCGCAAGCCUGAUGCAGCCAUGCCGCGUGUGUGAAGAGGGCGUUCGGGUUUUAAAGCACUUUCAGCGGGGAGGCGGUACCCGCAGAAGAAGCACCGGCUAACUCCGUGCCAGCAGCCGCGGUAAUUC
rnacentral:rRNA from 1 species